rnacentral:misc_RNA from 1 species
GUACAUAAGUGCUUGCGCACGACAAUAAUUUCAUUACAUUCGAGUGUGUGUAAAAAUCCUCUGCCAGCCGAAGCUAGCAAGAGGCCAGAAGUUCACAAGGGUAUUGGAUGAAAGUCACCCACGUGCACUUGCCGGGGCCAGCACUGAAGGUAACGAUUCACAAUCAAUAAUGAUCCUUCCGCAGGUUCACCUACGGAAA